rnacentral:rRNA from 1 species
UACGGGGGGGGGCAAGCGUUGUUCGGAAUUACUGGGCGUAAAGGGCUCGUAGGUGGCCAACUAAGUCAUACGUGAAAUCCCUCGGCUUAACCGGGGAACUGCGUCUGAUACUGGAUGGCUCGAGGUUGGGAGAGGGAUGCGGAAUUCCAGGUGUAGCGGUGAAAUGCGUAGAUAUCUGGAGGAACACCGGUGGCGAAGGCGGCAUCCUGGACCAAUUCUGACACUGAGGAGCGAAAGCCAGGGGAGCAAACGGG